UGCGUAGGCGGCUUUUCAAGUCAGAUGUGAAAUCUUCCGGCUCAACCGGAAAACUGCAUUUGAAACUGAUUUGCUUGAGUAGACUAGGGGUGUGCGGAACUGCCAGUGGAGCGGUGAAAUGUGUUGAGAUUGGCAGGAACGCCGGUGGCGAAAGCGGCACACGUGGGGUCUAACUGACGCUGAGGCACGAAAGCUAGGGUAGCGGAACG
rnacentral:rRNA from 1 species